rnacentral:rRNA from 1 species
AUACGUAGGUGGCAAGCGUUGUCCGGAAUUACUGGGUGUAAAGGGUGCGUAGGCGGGGAUGCAAGUCAGAUGUGAAAUCUAUCGGCUCAACUGGUAAACUGCAUUUGAAACUGCAUUUCUUGAGUGGUGGAGAGGUAAGCGGAAUUCCUAGUGUAGCGGUGAAAUGCGUAGAUAUUAGGAGGAACACCAGUGGCGAAGGCGGCUUACUGGACCCUAACUGACGCUGAGGCACGAAAGCAUGGGGAGCAAACAGGAUUAGAUACCCUGGUAGUCCAUGCCGUAAACGAUGAUUACUAGGUGUAGGGGGUAUCGACCCCUUCUGUGCCGGAGUUAACACAAUAAGUAAUCCACCUGGGGAGUACGGCCGCAAGGUUGAAACUCAAAUGAAUUGACGGG